rnacentral:lncRNA from 1 species
AUUAUAUUCCAAAGGAUUCAAGCUCAGAGAAUUACAAAGCCAAAAGCAAGAUGCAAGAUAAUCAAUAAUAAAAACCCUAAAAAUUAUUUAUAAUGUCUCCAAAAACGUGUAGGGACUAAAGUUGGAAAGAAGGAAGUCUUCUGGGUUAAUUCUUCGGGCUUUAAAACUCUUAAACCAUCGAGACUUUUGCUGGGCUGCGUGUGGUGUCGAUCGACACCAGGGGUGUCGGUCGACACUCAUGCCUUGGUCUGAUUCCGAUUUCGUUCCUUCAUGUGUCGGUCGACACCAGAAUGGUUCCUUAUCUCCAAAAUUGUCCCGAACGUGUAAAAACCUGAAAAGACUUAAAAAGACACUAGAAACAACAAAAAGACUCUAAAACUGACGCAUAUAUCAUGGCUUAAAUCGGUAAAAUCUGUGAUAUGUCAACUCCCUCAGACUUAGCUUUUGCUUGCCCUCAAGCAAAAUACACAAACUGAACCCGUGGAAGAAGUUUGAAAACAUCAAAACUCCCAAUUUCUCCAGCCUAUUACCUUGAUUAUUCAAACCAAAUCCAAAUGCCUAGCAGAUUGCAUCAAAUCCUAAUCACCAUGUAAUUCUUCGCAAGCAUUCUCAAUAUUCCAAAUUCCAAACCAAAUUCCCCAACCAUAUCCUAUAGCCCUCAUUGCAUAAAUCUCAUCAAUAAAAUCAGUACUCAAAAACCUUAUAGACUCAUUUCCGUACUAUACCAUGGUAAAUCAACCAUUUCAACAUAUUGCAGUACUCUAUCUCUCCCCACACUUAUUCUUUUUCGAACUUUUUUUAUUUUAAACUUCAAAGGUGUAGGCAAAUAAUGGUAUCAUCGUAAAUUUUCCUAACCUCGCUUCCAAUCUUCGUGUGAUCAUCCUUCUUGAAGUAAAAUAAUGAGUUUACUAAAAAAAUUCCUAUCUCUUUACUUCAAAAGAAAAUCAUCACAAUCUUUGUUUUUUAUGUAUAAGGUAGAGGAAUACCAUCUUUUUCCACAUAGGUCUCAUUUAUCAGGUAUGAACGAGGAGUCAAGUUCUGAGAAUACUAACCGGAUUGAGGAGGUGAAGAUCAUGAACUUUGCUCAGGCUUUAGCGGAUUGUGUUGGAAAUUAACGUGGAUGUCUUCUGGUCUAUAGAUUAACUCUCUUGAUUUUCCAUUAAUCAUAUUGAAUUGAAUCUGCAGCAUUAAACUAACCAGGCAAUUAUCUAGAGAAAAAUAUCAUAUUUUCUAACAGAUCAUAAUCUCAAUAAAACGACUCAAAAGAUCAUAAUCUCAAUAAAACGACUCAAAAGAAAAAGAAAAAUAAGAAUAAGACUCAAAAAGAAAAAUGAUAUAUCACGGAUUUUACCGAUUUUAACCGUGAUAUAUGUAUUGUUUUUAGAGUCUUUUUGUUGUUUCUAGUAUCUUUUUGAAUCUUUUCAGGUUUUUACACGUUCGGGACAAAAGUGGAGAAAAGGAAUCAUUAUGGAGCUAAACCGAGGAUUUGGAGCUGAGGAGACGAAUCCGGUUCGAACCAAGGCAUGAGUGUCGACCGACACCCUUGGUGUCGCUCGACACCAAACACUGCCCAGCAAGAAGUCUCGACGGUUUAGAGUUUUAAAGCCCGCAGAAUUUACCCAGAAGACUUUCUUAUUUGCAAUUUUAGUCUCUGCACGUUUUUGAGACAUUAUAAAUAGUUUUUAGGGUUUAUUUAUUUCAUUAUCUGGUCUUUGGCUUUUGUAAUUCUCUGAGCUUGAACCCUUUGGAAGAUAAUUGGAGAGAGCUACUUUCAGAGAUUUCAAUACNNNNNNNNNNNNNNNNNNNNNNNNNNNNNNNNNNNNNNNNNNNNNNNNNNNNNNNNNNNNNNNNNNNNNNNNNNNNNNNNNNNNNNNNNNNNNNNNNNNNNNNNNNNNNNNNNNNNNNNNNNNNNNNNNNNNNNNNNNNNNNNNNNNNNNNNNNNNNNNNNNNNNNNNNNNNNNNNNNNNNNNNNNNNNNNNNNNNNNNNNNNNNNNNNNNNNNNNNNNNNNNNNNNNNNNNNNNNNNNNNNNNNNNNNNNNNNNNNNNNNNNNNNNNNNNNNNNNNNNNNNNNNNNNNNNNNNNNNNNNNNNNNNNNNNNNNNGAUGUUCUUCAUUUAGGUUGUUCUUAAUGCUAGUUCUAGAGUAGCUAACUAGAACUUGAUUAUAGGAUAAUAGGUAUUUGAUCCAAGAGGGCACCUGUUACUGGAACUACCUUAGAUGAGCCUGGUUUAUAGGUGUGUAAUAAGAAUCGGCCUAUCUACUAAGGUGAACAUAUCAAACCUGAAUUUAAUGCUAGUUUAGAUCUAGGAAUUCGCAUCGAGAGGUGGAAUUACUGAUAUUAGACUUGUUAGUUAGCGCAUCGAGAGGUGGUUAGCUAGUCAUUAGUGAUUUGAGUUCUAGAACGGUUCAUUAAAUAAUCCUAAUUAAUUUGCUAGAUUUACUAUUAGUUUAUUUCCUGAGAAUUUCCCUAAACCUUACACUUUAAUCUAUUGAUCUUUUCACCUGAAAUCAUUGCUUGCUCUUGUUUUAUUUUAAUUCUUAUUAUUUUAUUUAGCCUAAUUUCGAAACUUAUAACUUAUUGUGUGAACAAAAGAACUUUGUGGAAUUCGACCCUUAAGUGCUGCAAUUGAUCUCUUAUUUGAGAGAGUAGGCUUUAGGAUUCAAUUUGACCUGUAUCAAAAAACAUAAUUAGUAAUUGCCUCCCCCAGAUUUAAACGACACUGUCUCCAGUGGCAUUCAAACUCGUAGUUAGUGAAAAAUAAGAAAUAAUUAUAAAAAUAAAGUAAUAUAAAAGAAAAACGAAAAACAUACGAGUGGGUUGCCUCCCACUAAACGCUUAUUUUCAGUCAUUAGCUUGACUAUGUCGGGAUCCAGGAGCUAGGACGAGAGAAGGGGUGGAAGACUUCUCAGAAGAUCGACGCCUUGUCAUCCAUUGUAGAGUGUAAGCGUUGGAGGCGUGCUGCAGCGUCCUUUGUUCUUUUUCCUACAUCAAAAAUAGAAGAAACAAGCACUCGAGAAUCUCGUUACUCGUUUACCGGGUGAAGCCUUCUUCGAAGAUAUGGAAGUAUGAAUUGAAGAAGUGAAAGGAUAAGGAGGGGAUGAGCACUACCUUUGCUGAUGAAGGCGUAGAAAGCGGGGGCGAGGUGCUGUGUAUGGUUCGGGAACAACUCCCGAACACUUGAUGUUGUCUGCAGUCCCACGAGCAAUGUUUCCAGAAAUCCUCUUCUCUGCUCGUCGUUGGUGUCGAUCGACACUCGUCUGUCUGAACGACAAUGAUUUGCAGACUGAGCAGUUUUAGGCAUUGUUGGUGUAGUAGAAUCUAAUUCCUUUGCAGAUUCCCGUAUACAUUUAACAGAGAAGGACUUACCACUGAGAGUUGGAGGUGUUUUUGAGCCAUCCAUGUCGAAAUUCAUCAUCACAUCACACACAUCCAACGAAAUAUGUCCCUUCUUCACAUCAAUCUUCGCACCAGCUGUUGCUAAGAAAUCUCUACCCAAAAUAAGAGGAUCCUUGGGUUCUUCAUCGUAGUCCAGCACCACGAAAUCAGCAGGUAUGAAGCAUUCACCAAUCUUCACUAAAACAUCUUCCAAGAUUCCUUCGGGAAUUCGUUAGAACGAUCCGCGAGAAGCAAAGUGAUCCGUGUUGGUCUAUAAGCAGUCAUACCGAGGUGCACAACAACUGAAUGUGGCAUCAGAUUGAUCCUGGAUCCAAAAUCACAGAGCGAUUGAGGGAACCGGCCUGUGGAAAUAGAGCAACCAAGAACAAAGCUUCCUGAAUCACGUAACUUUUCAGGCAUCCUACUAUGGAUUAUUGAGCUAACGUGUUCAGACACAACCACCUUCUUCUUCUUCUCCUUCUUGGCCUCUUGCAGCAUAAUUUGACUGAUGUCAUUGGUGAGCAACGCAGCUUCUGCAGCACAUAUUCCAUUGUUGACCAAUCUCUUGACAUACCGCUCAAGUGAUGGAGAAGAUGUCUCAGGAUUGACCUUAGGAAUUGUAAUCAAUAUCUUCCCUAUGAUAGCCUUGCAUCGCUCAUCUUGAAUCACCUGCUUAGAGCGACGCUUCUUAGGAAAAGGGACUGGAGGCGUGUAGACAGGUUUCGCAGACGGAAAAACAGUUGCAUAAGGACAUGUGCGGACCCAGUGUCAAUCGAGACUAGGUGAGUGUCGGUCAACACUCUGAGACGGUGUCUACCCCUCUAUAUCGUGCUCGACAUCCCUCAUAACGAUCCACUCGUCAUCACAUUAGCGAUAGGAGACCAUGACAUUUACCGAGUAUUAGUCGACACCGGCAGCACGAUCGACGUGAUCUUUCGCGAAACGCUGACAAAUGAACAUCGACAUGUCACAGGUAACUCCGACCCCGUGGCCAGUCCUCGGCUGAAGAUCUACCUGGAGUAAGCAUCGACGUAAUCUGCCACGAGCUGAAUGUUGACCCAUCUUUCAAGCCCAUCAAACAGAAGCGAAGAAAAUUGGGUCGGGAUCGCGCAGAUGCCGUGAAUGCCGAAGUAGAAAAGCUCCUGAAGAUCGGCUCGAUCUCCGAAGCAAGAUAUCCAGACUAGUUAGCGAAUCUUGUCGUGGUAAAAAAGAAGAACGGCAAGUGGAGAGUCUGCGUCGACUUCACCGACCUGAACAAAGCUUGCCCUAAAGACAGUUUCCCGCUCCCACAUAUCGAUCGCUUAGUGGAAGCAACUACGGGAAAUAAGUUGCUCUCGUUCAUGGAUGCUUUCGCAGGAUACAAUCAGAUUCUCAUGCACCCUGACGAUCGCGAGAAGACAGCAUUUAUCACAGACCGAGGUAUCUACUGCUACAAAGUCAUGCCCUUCGGACUCAAGAACGCUGGCGCAACGUAUCAACGGCUCGUCAACAGGAUGUUCUUCGAGCAGCUCGAGAAAACGAUGGAAGUUUAUAUCGACGACAUGCUAGUCAAAUCCUUCGAAGAAAACGACCACAUAGCUCAUCUACGCGACUGUUUUUGCCAGCUUAAUAAACACAACAUGAAGCUCAACCCGGCAAAAUGUCGUUUUGAAGUAAAAUCAGGGGAAUUCCUUGGAUAUCUCGUAACUCACCAAGGCAUCGAGGCGAAUCCAAAGCAAAUCGAUGCUUUACUAAACAUGCCCUUGCCGCAGAACAAGCGAGAAGUUCAACGCCUCACCGGGAGAGUUGCAGCCCUGAACCGAUUCAUCUCCCGUUUAACCGAUAAAUGCCUGCCUUUCUACGAUACUCUGCGUGGAAACAAGAAGUUCGAAUGGACCGAUCGCUGCGAAGAAACUUUCCAGGAACUAAAGAAGUAUCUGGCUAAUCCACCGGUGUUAGCAAAACCAGUCCCAGGCGAACCUUUGUUCCUGUACAUCACCGUCUCAGACACAGCAGUAAGUGGGGUCAUAGUCAGAGAAGACAGAGGAGAACAGAGGCCAAUAUUCUAUGUUUCGCAAACCUUCACCGACGCAGAAACACGCUACCUGCAAACUGAAAAGCUCGCUCUCGCCGUAGUGAUAUCAGCUCGGAAACUACGGCCGUAUUCCCAGUCUCACUCAAUCGUCGUCAUGGCACCCAUAUCACUCCGACCCAUCUUGCACAGUCCGAGCCAAUCAGGACGUCUGGCCAAAUGGGCAGUAGAACUCAGUGAGUAUGACAUUAGAUACAAAAACAAGACGUGCGCAAAAUCUCAAGUCCUGGCCGACUUUAUCAUCGAGCUGCCAUCAGAAAAUGCUCGAGAAGAUUUGCCCGACGCCGUCUGGACCCUCCAUGUCGACGGCUUGUCCUCAAAGCAAGGCUCAGGCGUCGGGAUUCGUUUAGCAUAUCCGGAGGGAGAAAUUCUUGAACAAUCUUUUCGGCUAAAUUUCGACGCAACUAACAAUGUGGCAGAGUACGAAGCGCUGAUAGCAGGGCUGAAGCUGGCUCGAGGACUUAAGAUCAACAAGCUACGAGCCUUCUGCGACUCCCAGCUCGUGGCCAAUCAAUUCAACGGAGAAUACGCGGCUCGAGAUGAACGAAUGGAGGCAUAUCUUGCCCUCACGCAAGACUUAGCAAAACAGUUCAGAGAAUUCGAGUUAACCAGAAUCCCACGAGGUGAGAACACGUCAGCCGACGCGUUGGCAGCCCUAGCAUCAACCUCCGAUCCAAAUCUGAAGAGAAUCGUACCAGUUGAGUUCAUCGAAAAGCCGAGUAUUGAAGACAAAAGCAAGGAUCAAAUACUAAUGGCUCGGAAGACAGAAGACUCGGAAGAAGGUAAUACCGAACCGCUGGAUCAACAAGCUACAGACUCAACCAAGCCCGAAUACGGAAGUGAUGCCAAAUGGAUCGGAGCCAUCCGAAGUUACAUAGCCGACGGAGAAGUACCUACCGAAAAAUGGGUAGCUCAGAAGCAUAAGGCAAAAGCGGCUCGGUAUACUCUGAUCGACGGAGAGCUCUUUAAGUGGCGGUUCUCAGGACCCCUACUAAUCUGUGUCAAAGGAAAGGAAGCUCGAAGAGUCAUGGAAGAAGUACACGGCGGAUCUUGUGGAAAUCAAUCUGGCGGGAGAGCCCUAGCUAUAAAGAUCAAACGACAUGGUUAUUUUUGGCCGACGAUGGUCAAAGACUGCGAGAAGUUCUCUCAACGGUGCGACAAAUGCCAGAGGCACGCACCAACCAUUCAUCAACCCGCCGAGCUACUCACUUCCAUCAUCUCGCCUUACCCCUUCAUGCGCUGGUCCAUAGAUAUUAUCGGACCUCUACACAACUCCAAGCAGAAGAAACUCGUCCUCGUACUAACAGACUACUUCUCCAAAUGGAUCGAGGCAGACUCCUAUGCCAGCAUCAAGGACGCACAGGUCGAGAACUUCGUCUGGAAGAACAUCAUAUGCCGCCACGGGAUACCUUACGAGAUCGUUACAGAAAACGGAUCCCAGUUCAUUUCGGCUCGAAUCAAAGGAUUCUGUGAGAAAUGGAGAAUUCGCCUCAGCAAGUCUACACCUCGGUAUCCUCAGGGAAACGGACAGGCGGAAGCAGCAAACAAGACGAUUCUCGACGGAAUAAAGAAGCGUCUUGACGCAAAGAAAGGCCGCUGGGCCGACGGGAGAAACACCUUUCGCCCUCGUCUACGGUACGGAGUGUGUGAUUCCCACCGAAGCCGAGAUCCCGGGAAUAAGAAGACGUUUGCUCCCCGAGCAGGAAAAUUCCAACACUCAGAUGAUGCUGGACGAACUGGACUUAAUUGACGAAAGAAGAGAUUCAGCUUUGGUCCGUAUGCAGAACUAUCAGAAUGCUACAGCUCGGUACUACAAUUCUCAAGUUAAGCAUCGCCGCUUCCACGAAGGAGAUCUCAUACUGCGCAAAGUUUUCGAGAAUACUGCCGAACAGAACGCAGGUAAGCUCGGCGCAAAUUGGGAAGGACCUUACACGAUCGCAAAGGUGAUCCGUCCCGGCGUCUACGAACUCAUCAACAUGAACGGCAAAACGGUACCUAGAUCCUGGAACGCUAUGCAUCUAAGGAAAUAUUAUCGCUAACGACCUAAGGUACGCAUGUACUUGAACUACGGGGUGGCUUGAUCCCUGAAAAGGGUACGUAGGCAGCUCGUCCUCGGACGAGUCCAGCUACCCCCCCCCCCCUAAUUAAAAAAAGGGGGGAGUGGGUCCGUAUACAUGUACUCCCACUGAACUUUUUGACAGAAUUCUCUCUUGAGUUUUACCCUUCGGGUUUUACAUUUUAUCCACCUCGAUAUCUAUCCCGAAAUUCAUCUCGGGAACCUUUACGGCCUUCUUAUCGACCCACAAAGCCGACAAUUCGGUCGGAGAUAUCUUGCCAUAAAGAAAUUGUCUUCAGAAAACCCAGUUGACUUCGACACUGGUACCCCAGUUCGCUUCUAAGCACUGGCAAUCGACUAUAUCAGCUCGGGUCACAACCGAUAAAGAUUAGUCCCACGUAACCGAAACCCAGUUACCUUAACACUGGUACGCUAUUCAUCAUCACGGUUCGCAAGUUAAAAUAAUUCUGAAAGUUAACUUCUACUGAACCGAAAGUCAUCUUUACCAAAACCCAAUUACAUUGACAUUGGUGCAUAAUUCGUUUUCUCGGCUCGGAAGUUAAAACGGCUCGGAAAAGAUUAACUUCUCGAUGAACAAGUCAUAUUUAUUAAACCCAGUUACUUAGCACUGGUAUCGAAUUUAGUUCGGAAAUAUUUCAAGAUAAACAAGGCAAUUCAAGUACUUAAAAAAAAAAGAACAUAUGUUCAGUGGAUAAAGCCGUCCAGGCGUGUCUUACAAAAAGGCAAAAGAGGAUAAAAAGACAUCUCGGGAUCAGAUCGAAUCUUGGUUAACCGAUGAGACUCGAGCUGUCUCGGUAUCUUGGUUCGAACCCGUCUGGUCAGUAACACCUAUUGCGGCCGCGGUGCCCUCGAUCGAUCGGUUCCCGAAGCUAUCGUCGACAGAGUCCGGGGAAACCGGAGGAAGCUUCAAGUCCUCUCGCAGCUCGGUCCCGAGAUAGACGUACUCAUCCUCGGCAUCCCCAUACUCAGCCGUCCAUUGAAGGACCUCUGCCUUCUCAUCCUCCACCUUUUUCCCUUCUUCCAGCUCGGCUAUCAGCUCGGCAUUGGCCCGCGCUUGCACCAAUUACAUAUAGCAUGCGGAUACCUUCCCGUACUAGUCCAUGUUCGCCUCGAUAGCCCUAACCUUCUCGGCAAACUCCCUCUUGGCUGCCCUCCGUUCUCUGACGAUCUCCUUCUCCCGGAGAGCCUUCUCUUCGGUAAAUAACUGAUGUAGGCGUGCAAUCUCGGCCUCGAGCUUUCUCUGAGUUCGCAGGCUAUCCUCCAAAGCUUUCAACCGCUCAACCUCGGCUCGAGAUAUCUCCGACCAACACCUCGGCUUCCUUUCUAGCCACAAUCGCCUCGAAAAUCCUAGCCUCAACCUCGGCUCGGGAUAUCUCCGACCUCUCACGAGCCAGCUCGGACUUCCGAGCUCCGGAAUCAUAGGCUCGAACCAUGGAAUUCAUCGAGUGGAAGGCCUGAAAUGGAAUGGAAAUCAUCAGCAAACAAAUAUGGAAACGAUAGUAAAACACGUCAGGAACGAAUCGAUACCUUCAGAAAUCCAGCAGUGGUUUCACGGUAGCUUUGAGCCUCCAGCAAGGCCUCGGGAGCGGACAGUGGUGGACCCAAACAAGAAGCGAUAAGAUUAGCAGAAGCUAUCUUAUCCUUGUAGAUGGGAGCCUCACUACGGCUCCUCUUCUCCUUCCUGCAUCCUCCCGAGCUAUCACCUCGGGGCCUCUUCCCUUUUGUCUUAGCCUUCGCCUCGGCACCCAGAGCUACGACCGCUAAAGCCCCCACUGCCUCGGGAACUUCUGUAUUCGGCCGAACGUUAUCGGAGGCCUCGGGUCUAGUCGAAGCUGCAGCAUCCCGAGCCUCCUCAAUCGCCUCGGUACCAUCGGCAACCUCUGGAUCGUUGUUAAUCUCAGGUGGAGUUGGCGGUCUGAAAGUCGCCUUUAAAACCCUUUUCUCCUCGGCCGCUUUUCUUUCGGCAGCUUUCUUCGCCCUCAAAGACUGUGCGGCUCCUUGCAUUUCGAUGAGGUGAUCUAGGCGAUGGUCAGAUGAUUCCGAAGAGGAUUGGCAAGGAGCUCCGUGCAGCAAACGCAAGGCUCUCUCAAUUCUAUCUCGGGAGAAGUGUUUCGUCCAAUCGCACUUCUGAGCUAUCAGUUCGACGUGGAGAUCUAGAAAGCCCUCGGGAACGUCUUCAAGAAAUGAUGGGUUCCGAUCUGCAUGAACAAGAAAAUGGUCAGUGAAAAGAUUAAAGCAAAACAAAACAGCAAAUACGGCUUCGGGUGUAGUACCAAUUUUUCUCCACUUUCCAACAACUUUCCCUAAGUAGUCCUCGUGGACACUAUACUCAUCCAAGGCUACGUAGAAGAAGUGGUCGGUAUACUUCUCAUCCUUGCUCGGGAAUCCACCGAUAACCCUCCUAUUUGGCCUCGGAGAUAUGUAAAACCUCUCAACGGGGCCUGGUAUGCGCCGGAUCUCUAGGAGAUUCCUUAAGUGGCUAAGGUCCACAAUAUUGACCGUCUCAAUACCUCGGACUAGAAUCCCCACUAGAUGCCGUAGGCCUCGGGUCGACCCCCUCGCUAAAAUCGAACCGGGCCUUAAGUUCCCGAAGGGAAUCUUCCGUACAUAAGGUCGAACCCGGAGGGUCGGGUUUCCUUACCUUUUUGACUCGCUUCUUCCUCUGCCGGCCCUUUGCAGUUUCAACUUUCGCUUGAAGCAACCUUGCUGCCUCGUCAGAAUCAUAGUGAACCUCCUCGGCUUUUACGGGAACCAAAGGCAGCUCGGGCGCACCUUGCCAGCGAGAGCCCCCGGCUUCGUCAACCGCUGGCGGAUGACUUUUCCUAACAAGUGCCUCCUUGGGUUCCUCCGGUAGGUCAAGCUCCCGAGCAAUAUCUGCCGCGGCAUCCUCCCGAGCCACGAAACGGCUCGGAUCUUCUUGACUAUGAGAAGAUUCAGCAUCGCUAUCCCGACGUAUGAUGUCCGCCUCGGGGUCACUCGAAGAACUCCAAACCAUCUUUCUCUUAUAGACAGAGAGAAGAUUGUCGCCUCGGGACGAAUCGCUGGAGUCAGAGAGAGACAUUUUCUGGCUCGGGCAACUAAAAUAGUUGAUCGGAAAAACAAAACUUGGCAGAUCGGAGAAAUCAACCUACAUCUAAUCACGGCGGCGCUACGACGGAAGUAAAACGGAAAAGUAGAAAAGGGAAGAAAUCAAGAUCAGAGAGAGAAGAGAACGAACCUUGAAAAUUUUCCUUUGCAGUUGCGAAAUGAGAGAACAAGUUGGAGACUUAAUAUUUAUAGGGAUCUAGGGCGUGUCGGGUACAUACGAGCCAAAUAAAACACAUUGUGUCCGCAUCUAAGGCGCGCGUCGGGCACGCGCGAAUUGAAUAGGAUACUUCACAUCCGCACAAAUAUCGGGAAUCAGCAAAGGACCUUUCCACUUCUCGAGAAGGAAUCCAAACCGUCACACGCCAAAAGAAGAUGAAACGACAAAGGAAUUCGAGUCGCCGAAAACUUUACAUCAAAAAAGGGACCGAACUGUCCAAAGUAAACGGCUCGGCCCAAUUGUCAUAAAGCUCGUCACACUUGGUUCUCUAAACUAACGAGCUGGGGGGCUAACUGUUGGGGUCGGAUUCCAUCCUUUGGCGCCGAGCCAGACUUAGAGCACCUCGGGGAACUUUUCAGAGAUCACCUCGGGGCGUCGCAUCAUCCACCUCGGGAAACACCCAAGGUCCACCUCGGGGUCUGACAGCAAGCUCUGGUACCCGAGCCGAUCCUCCUCGGAGACCCGAGCCGCUUUUCUUCGGAUGCCCGAGCUGUUUCCGUUCAUGUACCCGAGCCGGUCCUCUUCGGGUACCCGAGCCAUUUUUCCUCGGAUACCCGAGCCCUGUCAACAAGGGUACCCGAACCCGCUCGUCUCAAAGUCUCCUCGGUUCGGGAUCGCGUAUCACGUCAAUAUCCUCCAAGCCACCCGAGGCAAGGACUUUGUGAAAUAUUCACCCUCGAAGUACCAUUUCCAAGCAAAGCACCAUUUCCGAAAAAGAAGGAUCAUUUCCGAUAAACUCUGAAAUGAUAAGAGAGAAUCUUGGAGGAUCGACGCAAAUCAGGAAAACUUCCAAAAACCCCGAAGAAUAAGGAAAUUAUCCUAAUCCGCGAUAUUCUAGCCGACUUCAAGAUAAAUGGAAAUCUUCCGAGAAUAUCGCUGGAGAGGCGGUUUAUGAUCGAUAUAUAAAGAGACUCAAGGCUCUCAUAGAGGGCAAGCAAUAUCGCUCUAAAAUUUAAACUACACAAAGCUCUCAAAGCGCAAACAUUUUUUCUUUUACGAUCAAACUCUUGUACGAUCAAAGCUAUCUUUUUCUUAAUAAUACCGAGAACACCAUCUUUGGUUUCGAUCCGUUUUGUUGUUCUUUGAGAAUUCUCGCAAGUCGUAUCCCUAAAUUAAAACCCUAGACAAAUCUCGAUUGUGUUAGUUUCGACUUCCACAUUGUUUCUCCAGCAAGUGAGUAUGGGAAGAGCUUGUAAAGAAGAUAGUCAUCUGAAACUCCAUUAGCCUUGAUGCUGAGUACCAAUCCUCAAAGCGCUCGAUAUGGUCCAUUGGUUGUUCAUGAGAUAAGCCAUGGAAAGGAUGCUGUCCCACAAGAGUGAAGUAUGCAGGUUUCAGCUCGAAGUCGUUUCUCUGGAAUGGGGAGGUACGAUCGAUGAUCGAUUAGCAUAGAACAGGUCUGUCCUGUUGUAAUCCCCAAGAGUUAGCUGACGUUCCACCAUAGCAGGCGGUUGUUGUUAGCCUUGUUGGUCUGCUCUGUUUUGCACGUCUGCUGGGAGUGGGUGUCAAGCGAUACCCUGGUGGUGUCGGUCGACACCAAGGAUGUUCCCAGCUGCUGGGUUUUGUGGAGCAGCAACCUAGGCGUUAGGAUCAUCCACAAUCAGAUCCUCAGGCAUGAUAAUCCCGUGAUCGUCCAAUCUCUGUCCAGCUUUAUUGUAGGCUUGUCCAUCAUCAUCUCUCAAAACCCCUUGUUCAUAAGCUCUAAUUUCUCCACGAACCAUUGUUAUUGAUUUUUGAGCUUUGCGGUUGGUACGUUCUAACUUUGCCAAUUCAAGUGUAAACAAAUUGACAGGUGAAAAUUCAAUAGAUUAAAACGUUAGGUUUAGGGAAAUUCUCAGGAGAUAAACUAAUAGUAAAUCUAGAAAAUUAAUUAGAAUUAUUAUCGAACCGUUUUAGAACUCAAAACACUAAUGUAUAGCAAACCACCUCUCGAAUGUAUUGACUAACUAAUCAAAUAUCAAGUAGUUCCACCUCUCGAAUGUAAACUCGUAGAUUUAGGAUAGCAUUAGAAAGCAGGUUUGAUAUGUUCACAAAUAUUCCUAGACCACAUCUCGAAUAUAUCUAGUAAUCUCUCUGCCCACCGAAGAUAGUUCUAGUAAUAUAUGACCUCUCGAAUCUACCUAUUAUCCUAUGAUCAAAUUCUAGUUAUCUACUCUAGAACUAGCAUUAAGAACAACCUAAGGAGAAGAACUCUAAAGUUUAAUCCUAACAGAUAAUCGAUUUACUACUUCAUCUAAAUCCGUAAUGAGAAUCCCUAAACCUAACAGGAAAUUACUCAUACAUGAUUAAUGAAACAGAAAACAUGUUUGAAUAGAUUGCAAAACAAGAAAUCAAAAGAAGAAUAGAGUUUAGAAUAAAUCUUCUCUCUACAAGGAUUUUUAAAUCUCUGAAAAUAGCUCUCUCUAAUUAUAUUCCUAAGGGUUCAAGCUCAGAAAAUUACAAAGCUAAAAGCAAGAUGCAAGAUAAUCAAUAAUAAAAACCUUAAAAACUAUAUAUAAUGUCUCCAAAAACGUGCAGGGACUAAAGUUGGAAAUAGAAAAGUCUUUUGGGUUGAUUCUUCGGGCUUUAAAACUCUUAAACCGUCGAGACUUUUGUUGAUGCCUUGGUCUGAUACCGAUUUCAUUCCUUCAGCUCUUAAUCUCCGGUUUAGCUCCAUAAUGGUUCCUUAUCUCCAAAUUUGUUCCGAACGUGGAAAACCUGAAAAGACUCGAAAAGACACUAGAACAACAAAA